GCUUGUCUCAAAGAUUAAGCCAUGCAUGUCUCAGUACAAGCCAAAUUAAGGUGAAACCGCGAAAGGCUCAUUAAAUCAGUUAUGGUUCCUUAGAUCGUACCCACAAUUACUUGGAUAACUGUGGUAAUUCUAGAGCUAAUACAUGCAAACAGAGCUCCGACCGGAGACGGAAGGAGUGCUUUUAUUAGAUCAAAACCAAUCGGUGGCGGGCUCGUCAUCGUACAACUUGGUGACUCUGAAUAACUUUACGCUGAUCGCACGGUCUUCGCACCGGCGACGCAUCUUUCAAAUGUCUGCCUUAUCAACUGUCGAUGGUAGGUUCUGCGCCUACCAUGGUUGUAACGGGUAACGGGGAAUCAGGGUUCGAUUCCGGAGAGGGAGCCUGAGAAACGGCUACCACAUCCAAGGAAGGCAGCAGGCGCGCAAAUUACCCACUCCCGGCACGGGGAGGUAGUGACGAAAAAUAACGAUACGGGACUCAUCCGAGGCCCCGUAAUCGGAAUGAGUACACUCUAAACCCUUUAACGAGGAUCAAUUGGAGGGCAAGUCUGGUGCCAGCAGCCGCGGUA
rnacentral:rRNA from 1 species